rnacentral:rRNA from 1 species
UACGUAGGGGCCGAGCGUUGUCCGGAGUUAUUGGGCGUAAAGCGCGCGCAGGCGGCCUCGCGCGCCCGACGUGAAAGCCCCCGGCUCAACCGGGGAGGGUCGUCGGGGACUGGCGGGCUUGAGGUCGGCAGGGGUUGGUGGAAUUCCCGGUGUAGUGGUGAAAUGCGUAGAGAUCGGGAGGAACACCCGUGGCGAAGGCGGCCAACUGGGCCGGACCUGACGCUGAGGCGCGAAGGCGUGGGGAGCGAACGGG